UUAACUGAAAUUUGUAUGGAGUCGGAACGUUUGCCUACGUUUGCCGCUAGGGGCGCUGUUCCAACUCCAUACCAAUUUAAGUUA
rfam:Bombyx mori DNA, contig: Bm_scaf72_contig31270, strain: p50T/Dazao, build 2, whole genome shotgun sequence.